CGGAAAGCUCGCACCAGCCUGGUGCAUCAGGUGGCUCUUCCUCGCUCGGGGCUGAUCCCCCGUUCCUCUCUCCCGAAAGCACGUGAUUCGAGGUUACAGGGAUUGCGCGUGCCCAAGCCCCCAAGAUCGUGGGUGCUGAGGUGAUCUCCUGUGGAUGGACUGCCUCUGUGGGACAACAUGCGACUCUUCAGCCAUGCGGAUCCUCUGGGCUCGAGCUCGCUCUUGAGCUGUCACCAGAGCCUGGAUGCGGAGAAGGGUAGCAGCAGCCUGCUUCCUUACUAGGUGACCUCUCACCAGAGCUUGCAGCUUUACCAGGCCUCUCAAUGCACAUAGAGCUUUUCUAGCCUGCAAGAAACCCAACAGGAACUUGAAAAGAUUAGAGAAGUACCAAAUAUGCACGGAAAGCAGACUGAAUUUUGACAGCUGCAUCUUCCUCGACAGCGCUGGUUUUUUGUUUGGUGGAAGCAGUUGUUAGCCGAAUUACAGCUGCUGCUGCCUGCGCAGCAGCUACAGCAGCAUCGGCAGCGGCAGCCGUGGCCACUACGACAGCCAUUGCAUGCCUUUUCUGUUCAAUCUCGGCCUCCGAUAGCCCCUGAACCGGCGCGCUUAUGCUCAGCUCUGGGGAACCCGAGCUCUUCCCUGGACAUGCUGAUCUCCGAAAGCUCCAUCUCUUUUUCUCCUUAGGAGCAGGCACCGAGAUUGGAACUGACCGAGUCUUGGUUGGCAAUGGAGAUGAAGAUUCUGCUUUCUCCUUAUUUGCAUCCUUCUUCCCCGUCAAGAAGCUCCUGAGCCAUCUGCCUGCCUUCCCCAUUUUCUCAUGUACAACCACUAGGAGCAGGGGUCAAGAGUCAUUCGCUUGGGAAAGCUAGAUGAGACAAGGUAUGAAUAUUGAUGGCAUCUAGAGCUUUUACAUCUGUUUCUAAUUUCUUCUAGCUGAACAAGUCAUCCUUCUUCCUUUCUGAUCUCCGAUAGCUAACAAGGAUUUCCAUUGCAAGCCACUUGCUGCCAGCCUCUACAAGAGUGAUCCCAUGAUUCUCUACAAGAAUAACUAGCACUCCACUUCCAAGAUGCCUUCUCUGCUGGUGAAGUAAUGAUGGGAUUCAGCAAGGUUAUUCUGGU